GAGUUUGAUCCUGGCUCAGGACUAACGCUGGCGGCGUGUCUUAGCCAUGCAAGUCGUACGGACCAAGACUUAGUAGCAAUACUUUUUCUUGGUUAGUGGCGCACGGGUGAGUAACACGUGAAUAAUCUACCCCAAAGUGGCGGAUAACAGAUCGAAAGGUCUGCUAAUACACCAUAUGCUCACGACCCGUAAGGGUUGCGAGGAAAGGUGGCCUCUGCUUGCAAGCUAUCGCUUUGGGAUGAGUUCGCGUCCUAUCAGCUUGUUGGUGAGGUAAAGGCUCACCAAGGCGAUGACGGGUAGCCGGCCUGAGAGGGUGAACGGCCACACUGGAACUGAGACACGGUCCAGACUCCUACGGGAGGCAGCAGGCUAGAAAAUUGGGCAAUGGGCGCAAGCCUGACCCAGCGACGCCGCGUGAGGGAUUAAGGUCUUCGGAUUGUAAACCUCUGUUAGGAAGGAAAAUGGGAGUGGAUCCUAAUACGGUUCAUUUUUGAUGGUACUUCCAGAGAAAGCACCGGCUAACUCCGUGCCAGCAGCCGCGGUAACACGGGGGGUGCAAGCGUUGUCCGGAAUCACUGGGUGUAAAGGGGAUGUAGGCGGGCGAAUAAGUUAAACGUGAAAACUAAGGGCUUAACCUUUAGCCUGCGUUUAAUACUGUUCGUCUUGAGUUCGGAAGAGGAGAACGGAACUUCCAGUGUAGCAGUGGAAUGCGCAGAUAUUGGAAGGAACACCAGUGGCGAAGGCGGUUCUCUGGUACGUAACUGACGCUAAUCUCCGAAAGCUAGGGGAGCGAACAGGCUUAGAUACCCUGGUAGUCCUAGCCGUAAACGAUGGAUACUAGGCGUUUCCAUUAGGAAGUGCCGACGCUAACGCAUUAAGUAUCCCACCUGGGGAGUACGAUCGCAAGGUUGAAACUCAAAGGAAUUGACGGGGACCCGCACAAGCGGUGGAGGAUGUGGUUUAAUUCGAAGCUACGCGAAGAACCUUACCUGGGCUUGACAUACUGGUAGUAGUGAACCGAAAGGGGAACGAUCCUGCUUGCAGGAAGCCAGUACAGGUGCUGCAUGGCUGUCGUCAGCUCGUGCCGUGAGGUGUUGGGUUAAGUCCCGCAACGAGCGCAACCCCUGUCCAUAUUUGCCAGCAGCCGUAAGGUGAUGGGAACUAUAUGGAGACUGCCGGUGACAAACCGGAGGAAGGUGGGGAUGACGUCAAGUCAUCAUGGCCUUUAUGUCCAGGGCUACACACGUCCUACAAUGGCCGGAACAACGGGAAGCGAAUUCGGGAGAAUGAGCAAAUCCCUUAAAUCCGGUCCCAGUUCGGAUUGCAGUCUGCAACUCGACUGCAUGAAGCCGGAAUCGCUAGUAAUCGCAGAUCAGCUACGCUGCGGUGAAUACGUUCCCGGGUCUUGUACACACCGCCCGUCACGCCAUGGAAGUUAGCGGUACCCGAAGUCACCGGCCCAACCUUUACGGAGGGAGGUGCCUAAGGUAUAGCUAAUGACUGGGGCGAAGUCGUAACAAGGUAACC
rnacentral:rRNA from 1 species